GAUGAACGCUGGCGGCGUACCUAAUACAUGCAAGUCGAGCGAACGGGCGAGAAGCUUGCUUCUCUGAUGUUAGCGGCGGACGGGUGAGUAACACGUGGAUAACCUACCUAUAAGACUGGGAUAACUUCGGGAAACCGGAGCUAAUACCGGAUGAUAUUUUGAACCGCAUGGUUCAAAAGUGAAAGACGGUCUUGCUGUCACUUAUAGAUGGAUCCGCGCUGCAUUAGCUAGUUGGUAAGGUAACGGCUUACCAAGGCAACGAUGCAUAGCCGACCUGAGAGGGUGAUCGGCCACACUGGAACUGAGACACGGUCCAGACUCCUACGGGAGGCAGCAGUAGGGAAUCUUCCGCAAAGGGCGAAAGCCUGACGGAGCAACGCCGCGUGAGUGAUGAAGGUCUUCGGAUCGUAAAACUCUGUUAUUAGGGAAGAACAUAUGUGUAAGUAACUGUGCACAUCUUGACGGUACCUAAUCAGAAAGCCACGGCUAACUACGUG
rnacentral:rRNA from 1 species